rnacentral:rRNA from 1 species
CGUGCUUAACACAUGCAAGUCGAACGGACCUUCGGGUCAGUGGCGGACGGGUGAGUAACGCGUGAGAAUCUGCCCUCAGGGAGGGGGAUAACGGCUGGAAACGGCCGCUAAUACCCCAUAUGCCGCGAGGUGAAAUGAAUUUCGCCUGAGGAUGAGCUCGCGUCUGAUUAGCUAUGUGGUGGGGUAAAGGCCUACCAAGGCGACGAUCAGUAGCUGGUCUGAGAGGAUGAUCAGCGCACACUGGGACUGAGACACGGCCCAGACUCCUACGGGAGGCAGCAGUGGGGAAUUUUCCGCAAUGGGCGAAAGCCUGACGGAGCAACGGCGCGUGAGGG